rnacentral:lncRNA from 1 species
GACCUGCAUUAUCAAACAGCUCAAGCAGAGGACAUGCAUUAUCAAACAGCUCAAGCAGAGGACCUGCAUUAUCAAACAGCUAAAACAGCAGGCCAGGCAGAGGACCUGCAUUAUCAAACAGCUAAAGCAGGCCAAGCAGAGGACAUGCAUUAUCAAACAGCUCAAGUGGAGGAUCUGCAUUAUCAAACAGCAGGUAGAUGACCUGCAUUAUCAAACAGCUCAAGCAGAGGACCUGCAUUAUCAAACAGCUCAAGCAGGCCAAGCAGAGGACUUGCAUUAUCAAACAGCUUAAGCAGAGGACUUGCACUAUCAAACAGCUCAAGCAGGCCAAGCAGAGGACUUACAUUAUCAAACAGCUCAAGCAGGCCAAGCAGAGGAUCUACAUUAUCAAACAGCUCAAGCAGGCCAAGCAGAGGAUCUACAUUAUCAAACAGCUCAAGCAGGCCAAGCAGAGGACCUGCACUAUCAAACAACUGAAGCAGGCCAAGCAGAGGAUCUACAUUAUCAAACAGC